AUCUAUCACACGUGUAGACAAAGGGGGACUCCACAACACAAAGCUAGAUGUGCCCUCUCAAACUUUUUCCACGGUGCACGGCGACGCGCACAGAGAAAACCACCCCCAGGUGGAUUUUAACACCAGAUUAACCAGCAAAGCGUUUUCUUCUGUGGGAGGUUAAGGAAAUAAAAAUAUGUGGAAAUCACAUGGAGGAUGUACAGAGUCACCUAUCAAGCAGCUUUUAAGACGAAGAGGAGGAUUAACAGACCGUGCUGUUUUCUUUUGGAGAAGGUGAAGACUCAUCUCACAAGGAUUUAAACUUCAGCAGCAUCAGUGCCGGGCGGGAUGCAUUUUAUGCACACUUGGAAACCUAAAACUCAUGGAGACACUUUGAGGAUUAUAAAAAUGUGUAGUUUGUCUCUCCACAAGACAUGUCCCAGCCCAAAGUCACAGGGAUAGCAGGAUAUUGCAUUUCUGAUCCUCCUCGGCCCUCAGCAUGGGGAGUGUGGGAGCGGUGAGGUCUGGGAGAUCACGACCUUAAUUCUCUCCAAUACAGACAGUUUAAUUAACACUGGAGGAAUCCUCACUGGCUCUAGACCUCUACAAUGGGGAUGUUCAGGGGAAUUGGAUUGCCAAGAUGUGGAAAGUGACCUACAUGAAAAUGGAGAAGGAAAAUGAAGAAAUAGAGGAUAACAGCUUGGUAGGAAAAAAAACACAAAAGGGAAGAAAAAACCGUUUUUGAGUAUGUUUAACAGUUAUAUUGUGUAUAUUUGUCACAUAUAAGGUCACAACUCAUGGCUGUCAUCUUCAUUGUCAACUCCAACUGCAACUCUAGUAUUUAACUUUCAGUAUAGAGCAACAUCUGGUGGCAUUGGAGUCUAAAUAAUAAGUUUAGAAUGUGCAUUCACUAAUGGUUCUCAAGUGUGACUUUUCACAGGGUAUCACUGACUGUAA